GGACUACCGGGGUAUCUAAUCCUGUUUGCUCCCCUAGCUUUCGUUCCUCAGCGUCAGUUACGGUCCAGCCAGCCGCCUUCGCCACGGGUGUUCCUGCAGAUAUCUACGCAUUUCACCGCUACACCUGCAAUUCCACUGGCCUCUCCCGCACUCUAGCGCGGCAGUUUCGGAAGCAGCCUCUGAGUUGAGCCCAGAGAUUUCACUCCCGACUUGCCGCACCGCCUACGAACCCUUUACGCCCAGUAAUUCCGAGCAACGCUGGCCCCCUACGUAUUACCGCGGCUGCUGGCAC
rnacentral:rRNA from 1 species